rnacentral:misc_RNA from 1 species
ACGGUUCUAUUUGAAGGGAGGAGGGUUCUCCCUGACCCACACCUUUGUGCACUUUGGGGGAUUCGAGAGAGUCCUCCCGUUGCGAACGCCCUUGUCCUCUCGCGCGUAUUUUGAAAACCCCUUAUGAGGGGGGGAAAGUCUUUGAAACA